AAAAAGAGUGAAUAUUCCAGAAGAAACACUAAUACACAGAAUUGGUCAAAACUUACUUUUGGGAUACCCAUGUAGGCUCACAGAAGAAACAACAGUUUUAAAAGCCAAAUCACUUUGACUAGAUUCUGCCAAGAGAAGAAAAUUCUCUUGAAAUUCAAGAGACAGGAUCCCCAAGACAGCAAGGUAGAGACCAGGAGGUCUCAAACUUUGGUGCACAUCAGAAUCACCUAGAGGGGCUGUGAAAACACAGGUUGUUUGCUGGUACCCACCCAGAAUUUCUAAUUCAGUAGCUCUGAGAUGAACAUGAGUAUCUGCACGUUCCCAGGUGAUGCUGCUGAUACUUGUCCAAGAACCAUACUUUCAAAGUCAUUAGUGUACAGUUUAGGCCUUUGACAGUGGAUUGGAAAGAGAAAGAACCAGUCUAAGGUUUGGGGGAAACUAACUAACUUCCAGCUGGGCUGGGAAGCAAGCUAAUGAUGAAGGAGAGGGCCAUACCUGGGAAAGGGGAGAGCUUUCUGAGAAGAGGACUGGACUCAGAAUAACUUAGAAAAGGUGGAUUCAAUAUUGAGAAACUUUUCAUAAUCAUCCACAACAAUACCACCGAAGCCAGGAGGGAGUUAGCCAGUGCAUACAAAUCAUCUGUUGCCAUCCGAGCAAAUUGCCUGUCACUGUGUGGAGGAUAAUGUUAGCUAUUCUUCCCAUUGAGGUAUGUUUAGUCUUCCCACUGCUGUCUACUGACUGCUAUAUACAUGUCAGCCUAAGAUAUUCUAGUAGAAAGCCCCAUGCCCUGGGCCAUCUGUACUAGUUUCUUAGGGCUAACAUAACAAAUUACCAUAAAUGAAGUGGCUUAAAACAACAAAAAUUUAUUCUUAUAGUUCUGUAGUCAAGGUAUCAACAGGCCAUGCUCCCUCUGAAGGCUCUUUGGAAGGAUCCUUCCUUUCCUCUUCCAGCCUUGAGAGGCCACAGGUGCUCCUUGGCUUCCAUAGUCACAUGGUCUUCUCUGUGUAUGUCUAUGUUCUCUCCUCUUCUUAUAAGGAUACCGCUAGUCAUUGGACUUAGGGUCCACCUUGUUCAGUCACCUCAUCUAACUACCUAUAGACUAUAUUUCCAAAUAAGGUCACAUCCUAAGGUUUCAGGGGCACAUUUUAGGGGGACACUAUUCAAUCCACUAUACCACUCAAACUCCAUUAUUGAACUUCCUUAACCCUCUCUUUUCAGCAGAUCAGGACACUCUCUGGUCCCAUGGAAUAGAAGGUGGAAUUCUUGACAUCCAGAGAAGUGACUAAGCAGCAGAAAAAAAUCCCCUGAGCCUACACUUGGGUGGGAGUGGUUGGUGGGAAAUCCAAUUAAGAUAGGUUAUGAUGAAGAAGUGUGGGGUACCAUGGGAAUAUAAAAGGCAGAUGCCAAACACAGACUUGGAUGUUAAGCAAGGUUUCCCAAGGUUGGGAAUUUCUAAGAUGAGACCUGAAGAACAAGCAGGAAAUAGUCAGAUGAAGAUCUGGUGGGAAGAGAGACAUCGAGGAAGAGUAUUUCAGACAGAGGGAACAUGUGGACAAUAGCCCAGAAGUGAGAGAAAUAUGAGGAACAGGAGCACAAAGAUAUUCAAAAUGGCUGAGCUGUAGAGUGGUGCAAGAGGGUAAGAGGGAGGGCAUCUGGGGCAUGAGGUCUGAGCCCCUGUCUUCUAUCUCUUAAAGCCACACAGAAAAAUCCUAACCAUUCUUCAUUUUGGGAGUCCUUAUGCCUUUGACGAUAGAUAUGCGUUAUUCCCAAAUUUUUUCUUUUCAAGAUUAAAUAUACUUCAUUCAUCGAAGGAUUUAUCACAUACUUUGGAGUCUCAUCUACCCACUAACAAUCCUAGUGAAGCCCUCCAAACCCACUUUGGCUUGCUUAAAUCUCUUGAAGUAGUACCUUAGGAAAUGGAAGAAAAUGCUCUAGCCCAGCACCAUGGGAUCAGAAUUUGACCCUGAUGAUCAACAUUUACUAGAAGUUUCCUAAAUUUAGGUAUAAAAUUGGAGCUGUUUUGGAGGCAGAAACUGCUAACUUGAACUCAAUAUCCACUAUUACUUUUUUCUUUUUUGUGAUAUGAGCCCCCCAAGUUUUGGCUGAGCAUAUGGCUGCCUAGCUAGAGACUAACAUCCCUGUCUUCCUUGUACCUGAGUAUGCUCAUAUGACUAUGUUCUGGUCCACGACCUUCUUAUCAAAACCAGUCUUGUUUUCCUUCCUCCCCUGCCCUGCUGGCUGAAAGCAGGGACAACUGUAGCAGCCUUGUAGCUAGAGAUGGAAGCCCUGUGUUGAAGAUAACAGUAGAUCAGCCCACUUGGAUAGCUGGAUGACUUCUUGAGGCAGACAGUGGUCCCUAACCACUCUAGAACUAGCAGCCCACCCACCUCUGGACUGUGAGAUGAGGCAAAAAGAAACUUCCAUAAUAUCUGGACCACUGUAACUAUGGCAGGAGCCAUCCUCAGGUGAUCCCUAUUAAUAAAGAUUGUAUUCAGUAAAGACGUAGAUUUAGGCAUUCAUCCACCCAUUCAUUCAUUCAAUAAAUAUACAGAAUAUCUACUAGGUGCUAGAUACUACAUAUUCUGAACCUUAUAUAUGGUGGCAUCAAUAUUUCUGAGAUGAGUAGAAUAUUGCCCUUUUUUACAAUCUUUAUUGUUGUGAUGACACCAGGGGACUUUGGGUUCAGUGUUAGUCUCUUCAGCUCCUUGUUUAGACUUUAUAACAUUGUCUACUCUGUGAUAGCUACCUUAUCUGGGGGUAUCCCCUUUAAUUCUCAUAACAACUUUAUGAGAUAGGUUAUUGUUAUUCCCAUUUUAUAAAUUAAAAAAUUAAGCCUUUUGUUAAAAAUCGAUUUUAAUUUCCUUAAGAAUCAGCAAACAAUAUAAUCUUAAAAGACAAGGAGAGAUUUCUAACAUUUUCUAAGCAGUAAAGAAUGAUGGAACAAGAUCUUGAUCAAAGGCCUUUUGACAUUGCUCUGAGCUAGUUUCUCAAAUUCAAUCCAUUGAACAACAGGCCUCCUGCUCUGUGGGGAAAAAAAAAUAUGGUUUCUCGGUUUCUUGGCGAAAUAAGUUUGAGAAAUAUUGCAUAAUAAGGAGACUCACACUGUCCAUUUAAGUAUUAGUCUCAGGAGUUCCCUUUGUGGCUCAGCAGUUAACAAACCAGACUAGGAUCCAUGAGGAUGCCAGUUCUAUCCCUGGCCUCGCUCAGUAGCGGUUAAGGAUCUAGCAUUGCUGCGAGCUGUGGUGUAGGUCACAGACACAGCUCAGAUCCCACGUGGUUGUGGCUGUAGCCUGGGUUGGCAGCUGUAGCUCUGAUUUGACCCCUAGCCUGGGAACUCCCAUAUGCUGCAGGUGCGGCCC
rnacentral:lncRNA from 1 species